GACGAACGCUGGCGGCGUGCCUAAUACAUGCAAGUUGAGCGCUGAAGGUUGGUACUUGUACCAACUGGAUGAGCAGCGAACGGGUGAGUAACGCGUGGGGAAUCUGCCUUUGAGCGGGGGACAACAUUUGGAAACGAAUGCUAAUACCGCAUAAAAACUUUAAACACAAGUUUUAAGUUUGAAAGAUGCAAUUGCAUCACUCAAAGAUGAUCCCGCGUUGUAUUAGCUGGUUGGUGAGGUAAAGGCUCACCAAGGCGAUGAUACAUAGCCGACCUGAGAGGGUGAUCGGCCACAUUGGGACUGAGACACGGCCCAAACUCCUGCGGGAGGCAGCAGUAGGGAAUCUUCGGCAAUGGACGAAAGUCUGACCGAGCAACGCCGCGUGAGUGAAGAAGGUUUUCGGAUCGUAAAACUCUGUUGGUAGAGAAGAACGUUGGUGAGAGUGGAAAGCUCAUCAAGUGACGGUAACUACCCAGAAAGGGACGGCUAACUACGUG
rnacentral:rRNA from 1 species